AGCGCGAGCGCUGCCCCGCCCCUGCCCGGGGAAUUCCACCUUCCCUGCAGUGCAACACAGCCCGGGCGGGGCGCGGCGAGCCGUGCUGCAAGAGCUGCUCAGGCAGGUGGAUGACUGAAGCAGCAGAGAACCUUGGUGUCUGAAGAAUGGCUAGUGUUGCUUUAGUGGAGGGAGAGCAUUGCGGAAGGAGGGGUGGAGACCCAGAGAGACAAAAGAUUCCCGCCUUGUGCCAAAGGUAUAUAAGAGGGUGGAACAGAACAAGGAGGUUCCAGUUAUGAGAAAUCCCCUAGUUACCACCUGAGCUGGAGCGAAAAAGAACUGCACCAGAAGAAAGAAUUGGGCCCAGACUAGGAAGGAGUCCAGUCUUUGAAAGAAGCUUAUUGGAACAUCUCUGAGGG